rnacentral:rRNA from 1 species
AUGGAGCCGGAGGUCGCGGAGGCCGCCCGUGGCGAGGCUGCAUUCUCAAUACGCGCGCUCCACCACAUCGCCCUCGCGGCCGGCGCUAGCGCCAGCAGCAAAAACAUUGCCGUGUCCCCGGUCUCCAUCCACGCCGCGGUGAUGCUCCUUGGUACGGCUGCCCGCGGCGCCACGCUCGACGAGAUCGUCGCCUUCCUCGGCCCCGCCGGCGGCCGCGCCCACGCACUGCUCGCGUCGGAUGUCGCCCUACGCGUGCUCGCCCACAGCGCCGGCGAUCACGGCGGGCCGAAGGUGCGGUUCGCCAACAGUGUCUGGGUCGACGCCGCGUCAGCACGCCUCAAGGCCGACUACGCCGGCGUUGUCGCCGACCAGUUCCGCGCCCAAGCGUACGCAGCGUCCUUCACAACAAAGCCGGAGGAAGCGAGGCGGGACAUCAACCGGUGGGUCCAGGCUGCGACGGCAGGGCGGAUCAAGGGCUUCCUGCCACAGGGCUCCGUCGGCGCCGGCACGCGGGUCAUCCUCGCGAACGCGCUCUACUUCAAGGGCGUCUGGGAGAGCAAGUUCGACGCCCGGCUCACGCAGCAACACAGAUUCUACCUGCUCAACGGCGGCCAUGUCCGCGUGCCGUUCAUGUCGAGUGGCGAGAGCCAGCACAUCGCCUGCUGCCCCGAGUGGAAGGUCCUGAAACUUCAUUACGCGCCCGGCCGCCGCGGUGUCGAGCACCUGCGGCGGCACUUCGCCAUGUACGUCUACCUCCCGAACGAGCUCCACGGCCUGCCGAGCAUGGUGCGGAAGCUGGCCUCCAGCCCGGAGCUGCUCGAGGCGGGCUCCAUGGACCUGAGAGACAUGGUCCCCGUGCGCGACUUCCGGCUGCCAAAGUUCACCGUGUCGUACAAGACGGAGGCGACGGGGCUGCUGCAGGGCCUCGGGCUGCGCCUGCCGUUCGACGACGACGCCGCCGACUUCUCGGAGAUGCUGGAGGACUCCAAGGGGUCCCUCGUCGUGUCCAACGUCUACCACCAGUCCCUGGUGGAGGUGAACGAGGAAGGGACCGAAGCGGCCGCGACGACCGCGGUAACCAGUAUGACUUUUACCUGUCCCGCGGUGAUGAGCAGGCCGGUCAAAUACGUGGACUUCGUCGCCGACCACCCUUUCAUGUUCUUGACCAAGGAGGAGCUCACCGGCGUCGUGGUGUUCGCCGGUCUAGUUCUGGAUCCUUCGUCGUGA